UACGGAGGAUCCAAGCGUUAUCCGGAUUUAUUGGGCUUAAAGGGUGCGUAGGCGGCCUGUUAAGUCAGGGGUGAAAGACGGUAGCUCAACUAUCGCAGUGCCCUUGAUACUGAUGGGCUUGAAUAGACUAGAGGUAGGCGGAAUGUGACAAGUAGCGGUGAAAUGCAUAGAUAUGUCACAGAACACCGAUUGCUAAGGCAGCUUACUAUGGUCUGAUUGGCGCUGAGGCACGAAAGCGUGGGGAUCAAACAGG
rnacentral:rRNA from 1 species